rnacentral:lncRNA from 1 species
AUAUUUUUAAAUAUAUAACUCUUAUAUAUUAUUAAUAUAUGUUUAUUAUAAUUUUAAAUAUAUUUAAUCUAUAUAUAAAAAUUAUAAUAAUAAUAUAUAUAUUAUAUUAAUUAUUAUAUAUUUAUUAUAUAUCCGAAUUUUUUAUCCCGAAUUUUUAAUUGGUGAACGUAUAAUAUCCGUAUAAAUCACGUAUCUGAAUAGUUGUCGAAUCCGUUUUUUAGUCGUAUAUUUCAACGAAUUUAAAAAUUAAAAGACGAAUUUUAUCCGAAUUAUAUCCAUAUCGAAUUUUCACCGAAUCCGAAUUAACUAACUAUGUCUUCAGCCACCAAGGUUGGUUUAGCUGCGAUCGAUCUCAUCCGUUCAUCUGCUCGCUCCACCGUGCUUAAUUAAUUAAUUGAUAUUUGAAGGGCAAAUAAGAAAAGUAUUUGCUAUAUGAAGGGUAUAUAAGAAAAGUUAGUUAUGGUAUAAGGGUAUAUUGGAAUAGAUAAAAUGAUAAUUUUUUAUAAAUAACGGCAACUGUUAACACCUCACUAACGAAAUUUAACUAUAAGGGCUUGUUUGGUUCAGGGUGGAAUUGGAAUAGAUAAUGGAAUGGAAAUAAAUUGGAAUGGUAAUUGGAAUGACCCACUCUCCCAAGACGUUUGGUUUAUUUGUGGAUUAGGAAUUGGCAUGAGUUAUUCAUAUUUCAUUGUUUGGUUCGUAUAAACUAAAAAAAUUAUAGCAUACUAUAAUACUAAUUUUACUCUCAAAUAUAAAUUUAUAUUAUUUAAAAUUUAUGAAAAAUAUAAAACUAUUCUCUAAAAAGUUUUCCAAAAAAAAUAUAAAAUUUAUUUUUAAAAAACUUUUAUUGAUGCGGGUUAGGGAUAGGGUUUUGAGCGAGGAUAGAUUUUUUUUUUUUUUGAUGAGAAAGGGGUGAAGAGAAGGAGGGUGAGAUUGUCACAUGGGCUUCGAGAACUUAGUAGGCUUCCGGAAUAAAAUCUCAAUCCGGGUUAGAAGACCGGAAUCAAGUUGAAGGCUAAUGGACCAUUCCCAUUCCAGUCUGGAAUAGAAAUCCCAAACCGAUUCAUGCGAACCAAACAAAAUUAACCGGAUUUGAUCAAACAAAUUUCCAUUCCAUACCCAAAAUGGAUGAAUCAAACAAGCCCUAAAGGUAUAUUAGAAAGAAUUUGAAACAUAAGAAAGAUAUUUUCAAUAUUAGCCUUCUAAGAGGGGUAAAUAAAAAAAUUGAAAACUUUUUAGGAAUAUAUAGGCAAUUGCCCCUAUAUGUAUAUAGAGAGAGAGAGAGAGAGAGAGAGAGAGAGCGAGAGAGAGAGAGAGAGAGAGAGAGAGAGAGAGAGAGAGAGAGCUAGGCUCCUAUUCUUUCGAAAGUACGGGAGCCUCCGUACUUGUAAGUUGUUUUUAAUAAUGGGACAUCCAAUUCGGCGAUCGGUCUUGCUAUUGAUGUUAAGUAGAAUUUUCUAUUAAAUUUUCAUCUAAUUUGGAUACUUCUACACCGUUGAAUUUAAAAACGUGCCACAUCGGCCAUUAAAAUAGUCAUUUUUGAGACCUUUUGAUCGCUUGGUAAAUGAUGUCAAAAAAUUAUAAAAUUUGGUUUCUAAAUAGUUUCAAUAGGAUAGAUUAUACUUAACGGAGCCGAUCGUCGAAUCGAAUUUUCUAUCAUCGAAAACAACUUACAAAUACGGAGAUCUCCAUGCGAAAGUAUAGGAGACUUUACUCUAUACAUAGAUGUACACACACACAAGCGAAGGAAGAGGGGGUAUCGUGUGAUAAAUAUUAUAGACAAACAUAGUACAUUUUGGGCAAUAUUUGUAACCCGUAGCUAGAUGGUGACUCUUGUGAAAUGUGUACACCCCUUAUAUUAACUCAUUGCAUUAAUAAGUCCCAAUUAUUAUUAUAGAAACGAAUUUAGUAGCAAAUGCUAAAUAAUUAGGCUUCUGAGCUAUAAACCUCGUAUUUCAAUUAUAAAGUUCUUUGUCACUAACUCUAGAAUAUCGUAUGUAUCGGAGAUAAGCAAAAAGUGGCUAUUCCAGAAAUAUGUAUAAAUUGAGGUAUAAGCGGGAAUUAUAUAAAUUUAGCGUUUGGAUGAAAAUUGGUUUUAUCCUGAAAAUAAAAAAAAUAGUGUUUGGUUAGGUAAGAUGGAAUAAGAAAAAUAGUAAAUUUUUAUAAAUAAAAAAUAAUCAUAUAUCUUAUUAUAUUUGAAUUUAAAUUUUUAAAUUUUUAAAUUUAUAUUUUUAAAUUUAAAAUUUUAACUUUGAAAUUUCAAAAUUUCAAAUUUAAAAUCUCAAAAUUUAAAUUCAAAAUAUUAAAUUUUAAAUUUCAAACUUUAAAAUAAAAAUAAUGUAUUAUAAUAUAUAACAUAUUAUAUUUAUAUAAUUUAGUUUUAAUUCAAUUUAUAGUUCUAAUUAAGUUUUAAAUUAAGCAUUGGAAUAUCACUAUUCCACCAAAAUGGUGGAAUAGCAAAUCCCUUGCUAUUCCGAAAUAACGAGGAAUAGCAAGAUAUAUUUGACCGGGAUAAAAUAUUCCGGACAAAUUUCAUCCCGUUUGGCAGAAUAGCGGGGAUAACUUUUGUUAUCCCUGCUUAUCCCCAGAA